UCUAGCACAGGGCUUAACUAUAGCUCCCAGCUUGGAGCCUGCCAGACAGGGAAUUUCAAUCUUGCAAGAGAAAUGAAGUGCUGACAAGGAUCUAAACUUUGGAUCUAACCUCUCUGCAUCAGGGCCCAUGUUGCCAUUCCCGGGUCUGGUGAAUGGAGUGUGGGCAGUGGAGAGCCAGCUCCUUUUUUGAAGAAAAUAAUGCCUUGGUCCAAAGAGAGUAGGGGAAGCGGAGAGAAGACACCACGUGGAAAAUGCAUGAACCAAACCAAGCCGUCAUGCUGUUUUAUGAGAGAGAAGCCUGGUAACUCAAUGAAGAAACCUUGCAAAAAACAGGGAGGCUACUGUAUGGAAACAAGCUUCUUCAUUCAUUCUUGAGGCCACUUCUUCUCAUCUGUGGCCCAUAAAUACAGCACAGAACUCACUAGCAUUGCAUAAUACUCACCAAAUCCUGUACACAAGCACCCAGACUGAAGCAAUAUUCCCAUUCCCAUGCAAUACAAGACCCUUGAGUAUUGCAAGUAUUGUAUUAGCCCUUUUUGUCCUGUUUAUUCUAUGAAAUUAAUAAAUAUGGCACUAAAUCAACUCA